GGAAACUCAACUCACAAUGGAGUGCCUGGGACGUAUGGGCCAUAUGGAUCCUCUACAUCCAACUAUACCCCUGUUUCGACUACAGGAGGUGGAAACCCUGCUUCUAAUGAGGAUCUUUCUGCUUCUUCCUUCAAGGAUAGCCAACAACAGAGUGAGGGCUCAGGUGUGUGGAUUACUCCAGGUCGAGAUUUAUCCAGCUUGCAAGCAAGUUCUUUUUUCAACCUACCCCAGGGUCAAGUGGCUUUUACUCCCACACAACCUGGCCAUGGAAUCAUUGCUGGUCUUUAUCAUCCAGCACAACCAGUGACAGCACAGACUGUUCACCCACUUAUGCAACAGUCACAGACCAUGUCUGGUCCAAUUGAUAUGGUUGGACCCACAGCCACUGUGUAUCAGCAGCCUCAUCAUUCACAAAUUAACUGGCCAAGCAGCUACUAAGGAGCUGGUCCUGCCAUUUGUAAACCGGAAAGAAAAUGAAAUUCUU
rnacentral:misc_RNA from 1 species